UCCGAGUUGACCCCGGCAGUCUCUUAUGAGUCCCCACCAUUACGUGCUGGCAACAUAAGACGAGGGUUGCGCUCGUUGCGGGACUUAACCCAACACCUCACGGCACGAGCUGACGACAGCCAUGCAGCACCUCUACACAGGUCCCUUGCGGGAAGGCAAGAUUUCUCAAGCUUGUCCUGUGCGGUUCAAGCCCAGGUAAGGUUCUUCGCGUUGCGUCGAAUUGAACCACAUGUCCCACCGCUUGUGCGGGCCCCCGUCAAUUCCUUUGAGUUUCAAUCUUGCGAUCGUACUUCCCAGGUGGGAUACUUAAUGCUUUCGCUCAGACACACACAGUGUAUCGCGUAUGUCGAGUAUCCAUAGUUUAGGGCGUGGACUAC
rnacentral:misc_RNA from 1 species